rnacentral:rRNA from 1 species
AGCGAACGCUGGCGGCAGGCUUAACACAUGCAAGUCGAACGGUCCUUCGGGAUAGUGGCGGACGGGUGAGUAACACGUGGGAACGUACCCUUAGGUUCGGAACAACACAGGGAAACUUGUGCUAAUACCGGAUAAGCCCUUCGGGGGAAAGAUUUAUCGCCUUUGGAGCGGCCCGCGUCUGAUUAGCUUGUUGGUGAGGUAAUGGCUCACCAAGGCUACGAUCAGUAGUUGGUCUGAGAGGAUGGCCAGCCACACUGGGACUGAGACACGGCCCAGACUCCUACGGGAGGCAGCAGUGGGGAAUCCUGCGCAAUGGGCGAAAGCCUGACGCAGCCAUGCCGCGUGGAUGACGAAGGUCUUAGGAUUGUAAAAUCCUUUCACCGGGGACGAUAAUGACGGUACCCGGAGAAGAAGCCCCGGCUAACUUCGUGCCAGCCGCCGCCGUAA